rnacentral:rRNA from 1 species
AUGCAUGUUGCCUCGCCGGACGAGUGGAGGAACUGGGCGUCGUUGCCCGGCGACGUCCUAUGCAUCAUCCUCAGCAAACUCCCGCAGACCGACAUCCUCAGCGGCGCAGGGCUCGCGUGCUCGCCCUGGCGGCGGCUAGUCAAGGAUGUGCCCCUACUGUGGCGGCACAUCGACCUACGUCCCGAUCCAUGGGACGAAGAGCACGAAGAGUACUACUGCUCGUGGGACGAACUGCCACUGCCGGCAGGAUGGAAGGCCAUGGCGCGCGCCGCGCUGGAGCGCAGCGCCGGCGGCUGCGAGUCAUUCAGCGGCCACGUCGACGCCGAUGUCCUAGUCUACCUCGCUAACAGGAACCGGCAACAGAUCAAUAAAUCUACCUAUCCUGACUAUCUCACUCCUAAUAUAAUCACCUGCAGGGCGCCAUUGCUGAGGAACCUCUACGUCACAGGCUGGCCUUACAUCGAUGACGGAAAGCUUAUCACGGAGAUCAUCAAGAAGCUCCCUCUGCUGGAGCGCCUCGUCAUGUCGGAUGGCUGUUUUCAGAUACAGCUACUCAACGCCCUCCUCGACCAUUGCCCACGCCUUGAGCUGCUGGAUGUCACUAAAUGUUGGCCCACGUUUAGGGACUGGGAAGAGCCUAUUUGCACGAGAAUACAGAACUGCACCAUCAAAGACCUCCGGCUGCCGGACGAUGUUUUGGAGUGA